rnacentral:rRNA from 1 species
AUUGAACGCUGGCGGCAGGCUUAGCACAUGCAAGUCGAGCGGAGAUGAGGUGCUUGCACCUUAUCUUAGCGGCGGACGGGUGAGUAAUGCUUAGGAAUCUGCCUAUUAGUGGGGGACAACAUUCCGAAAGGAAUGCUAAUACCGCAUACGUCCUACGGGAGAAAGCAGGGGAUCUUCGGACCUUGCGCUAAUAGAUGAGCCUAAGUCGGAUUAGCUAGUUGGUGGGGUAAAGGCCUACCAAGGCGACGAUCUGUAGCGGGUCUGAGAGGAUGGUCCGCCACACUGGGACUGAGACACGGCCCAGACUCCUACGGGAGGCAGCAGUGGGGAAUAUUGGACAAUGGGGGGAACCCUGAUCCAGCCAUGCCGCGUGUGUGAAGAAGGCCUUAUGGUUGUAAAGCACUUUAAGCGAGGAGGAGGCUACUGAGACUAAUACUCUUGGAUAGUGGACGUUACUCGCAGAAUAAGCACCGGCUAACUCUGUGCCAGCCGCCGCAGUAACAC